rnacentral:rRNA from 1 species
UACGUAGGGUGCAAGCGUUAAUCGGAAUUACUGGGCGUAAAGCGUGCGCAGGCGGUUUUGUAAGUGUGGCGUGAAAUCCCCGGGCUCAACCUGGGAAUUGCGUUGGAGACUGCAAGGCUGGAGUCUGGCAGAGGGGGGUAGAAUUCCACGUGUAGCAGUGAAAUGCGUAGAGAUGUGGAGGAACACCGAUGGCGAAGGCAGCCCCCUGGGUCAAGACUGACGCUCAUGCACGAAAGCGUGGGGAGCAAACAGG